UACGUAGGGGGCAAGCGUUGUCCGGAUUUAUUGGGCGUAAAGAGCGUGUAGGCGGCCUCGUAAGUCUGCUGUGAAAGUCCAGGGCUCAACCCUGGGAUGUCAGUGGAUACUGUGAGGCUCGAGUCCGGAAGAGGCGGGUGGAAUUCCUGGUGUAGCGGUGAAAUGCGCAGAUAUCAGGAGGAACACCAAUGGCGAAGGCAGCCCGCUGGGACGUGACUGACGCUGAGACGCGAAAGCGUGGGGAGCGAACAGG
rnacentral:rRNA from 1 species